rnacentral:tRNA from 5 species
GGAGAGAUGUCCGAGAGGCUGAAGGAGCCCGCCUGGAAAGCGAGUAUACAUGAAAAUGUAUCGGGGGUUCGAAUCCCCCUCUCUCCGCCA